rnacentral:lncRNA from 1 species
AGCAGACAAGAAAGGCCAAUGAGAGAAGCGUCUUACUGGGCCUAAUGCUUCGACCUCCCAAUAAGGAGGUCUUCUUGCCUCAGUCUCCUGGGAUUAAAGGCAUGUACUACCUUGCCUGGGCCCAAGCUUUUCAUGGCCACUGUGCCUCAAGAUCUCCAUGUCAAGAUCCAGGUCAGAAACUUGUGUCUUCCAGCCUCAAGAUCUGGAUCACAGUUCAUUCCAGAUAUCGUCAAGCUGACAAGGAAUAGCCAUCACAGUCCUCCUACCUCUGCUUCUCGAAUGGCGUGGGAUUCCAGAGGUGAGCUAGGCUCUUCUCACCAUGUUCUAUGAGGCUCAAAUCUUUAAUUUCCUGAAGAAAACUCAUCUAAUACUUGAGCCGUGGUGGUCCUCUCUGGGUGGACUGAGGAGCCUCUGUAGGUAGGAUGUUCCUGUGGGUGGAACUCUCCAGGAUCCACCACUCAGACCCUGAAGCAGAUGGGCCCCCUGCGUGUAAAGUUGGCACAUGAUGUUCCCAAGGGCAACCCAAGGCUGGGUGGGACCUGUGUGGCCAGGGAAGGGAGCCUCAGUACACCAGGUAAAUACUUCCCUACGCCCCAAAUCCUCAAAGGAAUUCUUUGUUUCUGCACUCCUGUGUUGACUUAGCUGAGGAAUGCAGGGUGUCGCAGAGAAAUGCUCACUGGCUUGUUUUUUUGUGGCUUGCUCAAUUUUCUUAUAUAAUUGGCUGGACCCUCCCACCUCAAUCAUCAAUCAAGGUGUUCAUACAUAUUAAAAAAAAAAAAACUAAGGGACCUCCCAGGUAGUCUCAGAAUAAUUAACCACCCACAGAACAGCACUAGGCAGAUCUCCCCUCCUGUCUUCUCAGAGUCUGUCUCUGCUUUGGUCCCUGAGUGAUGACUAGCUUGUGAAGCCUAGUUCCAUUCACGAGUCACAAAGCAUUGCUUCUCCUGUUCCCUAUUCCAGACUCAGUAUCCUUCACUUUGUAUAGAAGGCGGAGCUGAUAGCAGAAGUCCUUGGAGAGGAGGGCUAGUGAGGUGACUCAGCAGGUGAAGAUGCUGGCUGCCCUACCAAACUACUAGUCCGUGUGGGACUGUCCUCGGGGCGAUGCGGAAGUGCCUGCACUGCCGGAGGUAAACAAGUUCCUGCCCCCACCGAAACAGGAGCAAACAGGAGGUUCACGUUCCCACCGCUUUGCAACACUGUUUCAGUACCUCCCCUCCCCCUCUUUCCCAGGCGCUAGCUGAUGGAGGCCAACACCAAAGAAUGACCAUCAUCUCCCCCACCAACGCUGGCGAACCUUUCUCUUUUCUCCUGGGUAAUAAUACUGUGUCCCAGGCUUGCUCAGCGGGUGGCCAUAGGAGUCUGGGAGACCCGGUCCAGUGGACAGGGUUUUGGGGUUCCGCUUAGAGUUGCUUCAGUCUAUAGAAAGCUGAGCCGGGCUCUGCCUCUUCUAUCGCAUGACCCCCACCCGGUGGUGGUGUCCCCAAGAGGAGAUCACCCGGAUUCCCCCCACCCCCUUCUACCUCUGCGCAGAGGGAACGCUGCUACUUUCGGAGUUGUACUCCUUGGUCCGGGAUAUUCCUAGACCCUGCGCCUGAGGGGCUGGGAGCGCAGCGCUUUGUUAUUCAGCCGGAAAGAUGCCCCAAGAAUUAAAAGACUUUAUAAAAUGUAGGUUGACUACACCACCUGCACCUGCCUUCAUUGUUGCUCUCUCACAGAAUUUCAGAAAUGCGCUAGGCCUCCUGGUGCAUGCCUAUAAUCCGAAGGCAGGACUCCUGGGGUUUGAGGCCCUGUGACACGUAGAAAGACCUUGUUUCAAGAAAUUUAGAAAUACCAGCAUAUUAAAGACGCCUCCCCCCCCCCAAAAAAAAGACAUAUCCAAAACUAUGGGUCUUUGGGCUUUUGUACGACUCCUAUUAGGAGUUACGAACACGUGUGAAAUUACCUCAGAUAGGGGACCAAAAACAAACGAAACAACAUUGCUCCUAAAUCCAACUUGUUGAGCAAAUAAGUAAAUUACAGUCUGGGAACUGAUACUCUCAGAAGAGGGGGGAAAAUCACAUCUAUAUUAAAGAUUUUGCAAUACCAA